rnacentral:rRNA from 1 species
UACGUAGGGUGCAAGCGUUAUCCGGAAUUAUUGGGCGUAAAGAGCUCGUAGGCGGUUUGUCACGUCUGCUGUGAAAACCUAAGGCUCAACCUUGGGCUUGCAGUGGGUACGGGCAGACUAGAGUGCGGUAGGGGUGACUGGAAUUCCUGGUGUAGCGGUGGAAUGCGCAGAUAUCAGGAGGAACACCGAUGGCGAAGGCAGGUCACUGGGCCGCAACUGACGCUGAGGAGCGAAAGCAUGGGGAGCGAACAGG